UGCACAGACAGUCUGGUCUCCAGUCGAGC
rnacentral:piRNA from 1 species